UACGGAGGGUGCAAGCGUUAGUCGGAAUUACUGGGCGUAAAGGGUGCGUAGGCUGUGACGUAAGUCAGAUGUGAAAAACCAAAGCUCAACUUUGGCAGUGCAUCUGAAACUGCGUUGCUAGAGGGAUAGCGGAGAAAACGGAAUUCCACGUGUAGCGGUGAAAUGCGUAGAUAUGUGGAAGAACACCUGUGGCGAAAGCGGUUUUCUAGCUUUCCCCUGACGCUGAGGCACGAAAGCAAGGGGAGCAAACGGG
rnacentral:rRNA from 1 species